rnacentral:miRNA from 1 species
UCGGAAUGAUCUGAAAUUUGGAGC